GACUCAUAGGGUUUGGCGUGAGUCCCCCUAUAGCCUGGUGGCCUCCAACAACCUGCUGGUGGCCUGACCGUCCUGGCCCUCCCUGGCCAGCCGUCCACCACCACCUUCACCCGGCAGCCGCUGCAGCGGAACAAUGGGAGGAUCACAGGCUACGUGAUAUUCCUCACCACGGACCAAACUGUCGGUGACUGGGUGAUGGGGGAAGUGACGGGGGACUGGCUCACCCUCACCGUCCAUGGACUGACGCCUUCAAGGAAGUAUUUACACAAGAUGCACUCUCACAAUGUCAAAGGUUUUGGUCCAUUCUCCUCCGUGGAAAGCUUCACGACUCUUCCAGCUGUUGACAAGAGCAUCGGUGAGCCCCCUGGCUGGUGUGUGGAGCGAGAGGCCUGAUUGUGCUGGUGAUCGCUGGCGUGGCAGGAGCCAUGACCAGCUGGGGGCCUUCUUGGCCACCACACUGUACUGCCGCGGGUCAAGGCGGAGCCCAGGCCAAGCAUUGUUGUUGGCGGCAGCUGCAGUGAGAGCAACAAGCCUGGCGUCCAGCCUCCAGACCUGUGGAUCCAUCACGGCCACUUGGAGCUGAAGAACUUUGACAAGGGUGAGCGCAGCAACUCCCCCAACCACGCCUCCAUCAUCCAGCACACAGCUGAAGAUCAACAACAAGGAGAUGACGGCGCUAGACCAGAUGCUUGGGGCACUCCUGGAGGCUCUGCAGGACAAGGCCAAGGAAACAAAGAGUGGCCAGGCUCUGGGACCGAGGCACAGAGAGCCAAGACGGCCGAGGGUUUAUCAAGACUGACAACAACGUGACGGUCAAAGUGUUAGAGGUAAGAAUCUUACGUGAUGAAACAUUGUGGAAGCCUUGCCAGAGUAUAUGGUCCCACAACAUGUCCUGUAGCUUCUGAAUGAGUGCCUUCAAGCUCUGGUGCUGCUUCCCUUCCUUUGUUAUGAGUGUUUCCAUACUUACUGCUCAAGAUCUUCAACACAAGCUCAUCCCGGUGGCCUCCAACUCUCUAAUUCAAGAGUUGUAGUGUAUCUAAUUCUUCCAUUUCUUGAACAACUUGAUUUCUGGUAUUCUAGCACUUAAGUACUGUUACUAAAAGACCUCUUGAACUAUUAAAGUUGAUACCCUCUUGGCAUCUCCUAGUCUGAAAACUCACAGUCCUUUCUUCCUUCCCACGAGUUAAACUUCUUCAGAAUGGGAGUGCCAAAAGUCUUCCAGUCUCCCCUGUGGUACAUUCCCUCCUCCCAGUCUUCAUCACAGUCCUUUCCUCCUUCCCAUGACUUAAACUUCUUCAGAAUGGGAGUGCCAAAAGUCUUCCAGUCUCCCCUGUGGUACAUUAUCUCCUCCCAGUCUUCAUCACAGUCCUUUCCUCCUUCCCAUGACUUAAACUUCUUCAGAAUGGGAGUGCCAAAAGUCUUCCAGUCUCCCCUGUGGU